UACGUAGGGUGCAAGCGUUAAUCGGAAUUACUGGGCGUAAAGCGAGCGCAGGCGGUUUUGUAAGUCAGAUGUGAAAGCCCCGGGCUCAACCUGGGAACUGCGUUUGAAACUACAAGGCUAGAGUAUGGGAGAGGGGGGUAGAAUUCCACGUGUAGCAGUGAAAUGCGUAGAGAUGUGGAGGAAUACCAAUGGCGAAGGCAGCCCCCUGGCCUAAUACUGACGCUCAGGCUCGAAAGCGUGGGGAGCAAACAGGAUUAGAUACCCCUGUAGUCC
rnacentral:rRNA from 1 species